GAUGCGACCUACUAUAGUAGUUGUUUCCACGAGUAUUUCAUAUACAACUAAAAGAGUAAAUCCAAAAUAAAAGUUGUUAAUGUCCGGCAUAUCCAUCGCAUGUCCAUCGGAACUUCGAAAAAGUCUUAUGAUACAAGUUUAUCGAAUCCUAAUCUAAAUCAAUUGGGGAGAAACGUGCUGAGUGCCGAAUAACCAGUUCGAUGGUUGUAGUAUUUUCCAAGGAAGCCCGAUGUAUCGCCCAUGUUCCCUACAUAGAGAUUUUCUUUCCUACAUAAGAAGAAAGUUAGAGAGAGUGAGAUAAAUUAGUUAUAAAUGAAAUCUACAUGUAUAUACUUGAGAAAAAUCAAAUGAAAUCCAAUAGUAGAAAUGAACAGAAUUAAUAGACGGAGGAGAUUUAUCCCAAAUCCAAACACAAUCUUUGAAAAGAUUUUAUGUAGUAAACCUCCCACAAGUUAAAACCUUCCCCAUGUUAAACAUUCCCCAAGUUUGAACUCCCCACAACUUGCAUAGCAACUUGCAAAGAAACAAGUGUAUAAACCCCACGUCAUUGCACUUGCAAGUACCCAUCACUAUCCAACAUCCCAAAGUUCUCUUCACACACACACCAACACAACAUAGGAUUGACAAGGAAUCGAAGGUGAAGAGCUGCAGAUAAUUGUAGGAUCAAGUCCUACAAUCCAACAACACUUUUUUUCACCAUCAAAAGGUUAUCUCAACAAGGUUGGAGCGAGAAAUUCAAGUUAAGGAAAUUAAACGAACGAGGUGAACUUUUCUAUCCUGCAUACUAAUGUGGAUAAAAAUAAAGAAAUUAUUUUCAAAUGAUUUUUAUGAAAACUCGAACUUAUGUUCGUUGCUCAUUUUCAAAGUAUGUUGUCUUGACAUAAAUAUUUUGUGUAUGAUGCCUAUUUGUUUUGGUGUGAGGCCAAGUGAGUUGUGAAUCGAAUUCGGGUCCAAGUGAGGGACAACUCGGACUAGUGUACACAGGAGACCUAUGGCCAGAGGGCAGGUCUGAUAACCGAGGAAGGUGGUCACCAUCCCGGCACAAGAAUGUUAAUUUGGCAGUGAGAGAACACCAUCUCUACGACACAAGAAUGUUAAUGCGACCGUGAGAGAACACCAUCUCUACAGCACAAGAUGAUCAGAUAUGGCAAAAUACAGAAAGAAAAUCGACUACAGUCGAAAAAUGAUUUUUAGUAAGCUCAGGUUGAGCAGCGAAGUGGUGGAGGAAGUGUUAUUGAGAUGAUACAUUUAAUUCAGUCAUAUUAGGACUCUCGGAGGUUCGUGUCUCCAUACAAGGAACAACGUUCAUUUGCUUCCGUUGUGCACCUUAAAAGACUCAAGUUUAUUUUGGUCAAACCUUUAGUAUUUUGAAAUUUUUACAAACAA